rnacentral:rRNA from 1 species
GACGAACGCUGGCGGCGUGCCUAAUACAUGCAAGUUGAGCGAUGAAGGUUGGUGCUUGUACCAACUGGAUGAGCAGCGAACGGGUGAGUAACGCGUGGGGAAUCUGCCUUUGAGCGGGGGACAACAUUUGGAAACGAAUGCUAAUACCGGAUAAAAACUUUAAACACAAGUUUCAAGUUUGAAAGAUGCAAUUGCAUCACCCAAAGAUGAUACCGCGGUGUCUUAGCUAGUUGGUGAGGUUAAGGCUCAACAAGGCGAUGAUACAUAACCGACCUUGGAGGGUUGUCCGCCACCAUUGGACCGAGACACCGCCCAAACUCCCUCGGGAGGCAGCAGUAAGGGAUCUUUCGCCAUGGGCGGAAGUCUUACCGGGCCACGCCGGCGGGGUGGAGGAAGUUUUCCGAUCGGUAAACUCUGUUGGUUAGGGAGAACGUUGUGGGGAGUUGACAGCUCAUCACUUGACGGUAACUACCCAGAAAGGGACGGCUAACUACGUG